CAGAAUCCGGGAAUAGGCCA
rnacentral:siRNA from 1 species